rnacentral:rRNA from 1 species
UGCAUGAAGCCGGAAUCGCUAGUAAUCGCGGAUCAGAAUGCCGCGGUGAAUACGUUCCCGGGUCUUGUACACACCGCCCGUCACACCAUGGGAGUCGGGAAUGCCCGAAGCCGGCGGCCUAACCUUAUAGGAGGGAGCCGUCGAAGGCAGGCCCGGUGACUGGGGUGAAGUCGUAACAAGGUAGC